AGUUAGCCAUUGCGCUGCCACCGAUAGGGGGCGGUAUCGGCCCGGGAGGGCCAUUUGCCACUGGUGGUGGAGGGGGAGGUUGUGAUCCCACCAUUGCAGAUGGUGGAGGCCUUGGAGGAUUCAUGACUGGAGCAGGAGGGGCGGCAGGUGGAGGUGCUUGGAGCGGUGGCAGUGGUGGCGCUUGAGGUGGAGGUGGCAAUGGCCGCGGAGGAACACCCGGAGGUGCAGUACCAUUGGCAACAGGAGCAGGUUGUGGUUUAUU
rnacentral:lncRNA from 1 species